CCCACAGCAAGACCCCAGGAUGAAAAUGUACCCUAACAAAAAAAAAAAAAACAUAAUUAAUACAAUUGGUCCUUUAAUAUUUUAUCUUACUCUGAGGAACCCUCAGACAUUGGGAGUGGAGAUUUUCACACAGGAGGGCAUAAGUUGCCCUAAGUGACACAGAACACGUUCUGAGAGUUAGGAAGAGAAAUACAGGUAUCUGCCUAACCAGUACUUGCAGUCCUGCCCAUAACCCAGUUUUCCAUCAUGCUUGGUGUCUUAGUCUGUCUGUGUUGCUACAUAUCUGAGGCUGUGGGUAACUUAGAAAGAGGCUUAUUUGGCUCAUGGUUCAGCAGGCUGUGCAAGCAUAGCACUGGCAUCUGACCUGCUUCUGGUGAGGACUAUUUGCUGUGUCAAACAGGGCAGAGAAGGUCAAGGGCAGUGAGCCAAACCCGAGGGACGGCUUGGCUUUAUCACAACCAUGCUCCCAGUAACUAGUGCAUUCCCCUACAAACCAAUCCAGGCUUGACACAGCAAGAAUGAAUGGUAUCCAACCAUUCAGGAGGGUGCCCCCAUGACCCAAACCCCCACCAGGCCCCCUCCCAGCACUGCCACACUGAGGGUCAAAGCUCAACAUGAGACUUGAUGAGGGCAAACCAAUCACAUCCACAUCACAGCAUAUGGUAUUACUCAAGAAAAUCACUUUGAAAUGUUGGGGGUCCAAUGAUAAUAUCCUUGAGGAGUUAUAAAGGUGAUAAAGGGAUGAGUUUGACAAUUAUCAGGAUGGCAGGUCUGUAGUUCUGCUGCAGGAGGGUAUGAAGCAAACAGUUAGUAUGUGUAAAGAAGAGGCUCUGUGUGAAGCCAAGUCAAGGGAGUAAGGAGAUGAGAUGGAAAGCUGCAGCGGAGGAGAAGGCACUGGGGAGACAGUGGCCUUCCCAGAGGCUGAUAGGAGGCGGGCACCUCCUGGUGAAACAAAACAUUUUGGUAUCAAUUAUUGAGACUUCACAGACACUACUAACUCCUACCAGAUUUUCCUACAGGCAAGGGGUGCAGGGCUGUGGGUUUUGGUUGAGAUUACACCAGGAUCACGGGUUAGCGGACAGCAAGCUCAGCUCAUCACAGAAUCUCAAAUAUCAAAUUUGUGCCUUAGGAACCCCAGUCCAUGGGCAUCGCUGCUGAGGAGGUUCUGAAGAAGUGCGUGAAGUCACCUCCAGUGAAGGGAGGGGGAGUCGUCGGAGGGGUAGUCGUCUUAAUUGAGGUCUGUGCUGGGGUGAUGUCUCCACCAACAGUGGGCAUAUCAGGCAGGGUGGUGUCUGGGCUACCGCCUGCUCAGGAUGCUGUCACUAGGAGUCCGAGCACCAGGAUGAUGCAGUCCUGGCGUCACCUGUGACCCACAAGUUCUGGACUCAGGCAACUGUGAGUCAGUUCUAGCAGAGACCUGCAGGACUUAUUUCAGCCAAUCAGGAUGUCACCUGAGACCAGUCCAGGAGCCGCUACAACCCCACAAGCUGGUUCCCGCUAAUCUGAUGACCUUUAGUGUCAAUGCCAACAAUUAAAGGUGGCAACAGAUGAGCUAAAUAGCCACACUCAAUCCCACAAGAGAAACAUGGCACAACCCACUCCUCUCCACAACAAACACGUAACAUGAAGGUGCAUGGCUCUGUCCAUCCAGAAUUUCAAACACGUGACAUGAAGGUGCACAGGUCUGUCCAUCCAGGAUUUCAAACAUGUGACAGGAAGGUGCACGGGUCUGUCCAUCCAGAAUUUUAAACACGUAACAUGAAGGUGCAUGGGUCUGUCCAUCCAGAAUUUCAAACACGUGACAUGAAGGUGGACGGGUCUGUCCAUCCAGGAUUUCAAACACGUAAUAUGAAGGUGCACGGGUCUGUCCAUCCAGGAUUUAUUGUUCACCUCGUUGUAGAUUACCUUUAUACCGUGGGGAUUCAACACCACAGAAACAGUCACCAAGCAGCUGCUGCCCUGAUGGCCACAAAAAACAUAACCCAGGAUUGCUGCAGCCAGAGGACACACAUUCGUGUCACUCACAUGAAGUCUUGCUCUGCCACUGUGUGUGUUUAAGGGCCUCAUCCAAGAAGCGCCAGUGACAGGGCCAAGCGCCACAGAACAUCAGGACCAGCCGUGUCCCUGGUCUGUUUUCAUGGUACACAAAGGAGCAGCACACACACAAGCAGCAGCUGCCCCAGGAGUGCCGGGUCGCAGCAGCUGCCCCAUGAAUGCCGGAUCACAGCAGCUGCCUCAUCAGUGCCGGAUCGCAGCAGCUGCCCCAGGAGUGCCAGAUUGCAGCAGCUGCCAGGACCGCUCUGCAUGCUGUGAAGAGGAUCUGGAGGUCAACAAGGACACUCAGGGCUCUCACCCGUCCGGCACUGCCUAAGGUACAGGAAUUCCCUCCUCCCCACGUGGGGGGUGGUGGUUCUCCCUCCACGGCCAUGAAACGGGGGCAUCUCAGGGUACAGACCUCGCCCCUCUCCACUCUGCCCCUCCUUGCACCCUGGUGUUUUAUCUGAAGGGAUCAGGUAUGGGAGAGGAACAAGGGCAUUUUCAUAAAAUGUAGAGCUGUGUUAUGCCCCAACAUUGGCCAGUGUGGGACCCUACAGGUGGGUCAUGCCUAAGAGCAUGACUAACCAACCAGAGCCUACGCUGCUCAUACAGGAUCCCAUCUGGAUACUUAAGACUAACCAACCAGAGCCUACACUGCUCACACAGGAUCACAUCUGGAUCCUCAAGACUAACCAACCAGAGCCUACACUGCUCACAGAAUCACAUCUGGAUACCUAAGACUAACCAACCAGAGCCUACACUGCUCACAGAAUCACAUCUGGAUCCUCAAGACUAACCAACCAGAGCCUACGCUGCUCACACAGGAUCACAUCUGGAUCCUCAAGACUAACCAACCAGAGCCUACGCUGCUCACGCAGGAUCACAUCUGGAUCCUCAAGACUAACCAAGCAGAGCCUACGCUGCUCACAGAAUCACAUCUGGAUCCUCAAGACUAACCAACCAGAGCCUACGCUGCUCACAGAAUCACAUCUGGAUCCUCAAGACUAACCAACCAGAGCCUAUGCUGCUCACAGAAUCACAUCUGGAUCCUCAAGACUAACCAACCAGAGCCUACGCUGCUCACACAGAAUCACAUCUGCAUCCUCAAGACUAACCAACCAGAGCCUACACUGCUCACAGAAUCACAUCUGGAUCCUCAAGACUAACCAACCAGAGCCUACAGUGCUCACACAAGAUCACAUCUGGAUCCUGAAGACUAACCAACCAGAGCUUACACUGCUCACAGAAUCACAUCUGGAUCCUCAAGACUAACCAACCAGAGCCUACGCUGCUCAAAGAAUCACAUCUGGAUCCUCAAGACUAACCAACCAGAGCCUACACUGCUCACACAGGAUCACAUCUGAGUCCUCAAGGCCUACUGUUAGCCAGGCUGCGACGUGGACACUGUAGCAACCAGACUGGAGGAUUUCUACAGGGAACAGAGUCCUCACUCCAAGAAUGAUCAGUGCAGCAUCAUAAAGAUUCAAAAUACGUCUACAGAACCCCCAGAAAGACAUGUCUCAAGUUAGCCCACAAGGUUUUAGAACACAGGGAAGCGACUGCUAUCUUCCAUACAUUCACAACACUUCAAGUGUCAAUCACCACGUUUACUAAAGGGUGAGGAAAGAUGUAAUGUAAAAAAUGACUUCCCAACAAUUCUCACCCUCCUAAGGUUUUUCUUCAUUGUGA
rnacentral:lncRNA from 10 species